GCCUACCUUCUGUCUCAAUAUCUCUGAUCAUCUGCCAUCUCCCACAGCUGGAAAGUCUGCAAAAAAGAAAGAAACUAAAAUAAACACGUUUAAAUGAAAGAGUUCUUCUGGCAGGGAGCUUAAGAGGUGAUCAAGAGGCUUAAAGCACGUAAACACUUGGCGGACCUCUCGCUGUUGUGGCCUCUCCCGCUGCGGAGCACAGGCUCUGGACGCGCAGGCCCAGCGGCCACGGCUCACGGGCCCAGCCGCUCCACCGCAUGUGGGAUCUUCCCGGACAGAACCACGAACCACGUCCCCUGCAUCGGCAGGUGGACUCUCAACCACUGCGCCGCCAGGGAAGCCCCGAAGACCACAUUUUGAGAGCACUAAUCUAGUGUAUCCUUUCACUCCUUAUCCACAGCUACUGCAGCAUGCUCUCCUCAUAUCUUGGCCAGACAACCACAAAAAAACAACGUCAAUCAUCACCUUUCUCAUCCCCAAUCCUGUCUAUCCUGAACAAUUUUAACAAGUAAAAACACAAACCUAAUAAAAUUAUCCAACAAAUUAAUGUUUCUUGAAUCUCUCCAAUGGUAUGCCACUGACCAGAAAGCAAGAUAAUCACUUUCACCUUACAGUUUACCAUGCUCUCCGUUUGUACAGGAUGUUUCCCUUGCAUAA